CAGCCUCGCCCUCGACCUCCAUGAAGAUCCAGACUCUUUCUUCAAGGAGUAUCUGAUGCAGAGAGGGAACUUGCAAACACCGUCAUGGGGAUUGGCUUCACCCGAAGAGAUGGGGACCAGAGGACGUGGGAGUCGCGAUGGAAGUCAUUAAAGUCCUAAACGGCGUGGACGGUGUCAUCGUGGCGUUCAUCAUGUUUGGGCUCAUUUGUGCCCUUGAGCUAAGCUUCAGACAACUCCAAGGUCACCUUCCAGAAGGUCAUCAUGAAGAUGGGCACAAGCUGAAUUAAAGAUGCAGCAGCUGAACGUCAAGUUGUCUGCAUGACUCACAGUGAAUAAGUCCAGUCCAGUUGCUUUUCUCUUUGAGUUCGCUGGGUGUUGCAGGUGAACCGUUUCCAGGUGAGGAACACCUCUUAAAAUGUUCUUUAAAAAUGUUAACACCUUUCAUCUGUGUAUUGAAGAUCAAUUGAGAUGUAUUGUCACUGACUUCCUGAUCAGUCCGUUUAUUAUUUUCUAUUUGUUAAAUAUAUAUAUAUUUUAAAUGCAGUCGUACAAGUGAUUUCGUCAGUUUUGACCACGUUAAAGCUAUUUAAAGAAUUUGUAAUAAAAACCUGAACUGUG